rnacentral:rRNA from 1 species
UGACCGCGACCCCAGGUCAGGCGGGA